rnacentral:rRNA from 1 species
AGAGUUUGAUCCUGGCUCAGAACGAACGCUGGCGGCGCGUUUUAAGCAUGCAAGUCGAGCGGCAAGGGCCUUUGGGCCCCUAGAGCGGCGGACGGGUGAGUAACACGUGGACAAUCUGCCCCCCGGCCGGGGAUAGCCCAGGGAAACCUGGAUUAAUACCGGAUGAGACGGGACCCGCGGAGGCGGGAUCCGGGAAAGGCGCUGCGGCGCCGCCGGGGGAUGAGUCUGCGUCCCAUUAGCUAGACGGCGGGGUGAAGGCCCACCGUGGCGACGAUGGGUAGCCGGCCUGAGAGGGUGGACGGCCACAUUGGAACUGAGACACGGUCCAGACUCCUACGGGAGGCAGCAGCUAAGAAUCUUCCGCAAUGGGCGAAAGCCUGACGGAGCGACGCCGCGUGAACGAAGAAGGCCGUGAGGUUGUAAAGUUCUUUUCGGGAGGGGGAACAACCGUGGCAGGGAAUGGCCGCGGGAUGACGUGAAUCCCGGAAUAAGCCCCGGCUAACUACGUGCCAGCAGCCGCGGUAACACGUAGGGGGCGAGCGUUGUUCGGAAUCAUUGGGCGUAAAGGGCGUGCAGGCGGUCCUGCAAGUCCGGCGUGAAAGACCCCGGCCCAACCGGGGGGGCGCGCUGGAAACUGCAGGGCUUGAGUACAGGAGGGGAUGCCGGAAUUCCAGGUGUAGGGGUGAAAUCUGUAGAUAUCUGGAAGAACACCAAUGGCGAAGGCAGGCAUCUGGCCAUGUACUGACGCUGAGACGCGAAGGUGCGGGGGAGCAAACAGGUUUAGAUACCCUGGUAGUCCGCACAGUAAACGAUGUGCACCAGGUGGCGGGGGGUCGACCCCCGG